GACGAACCGUGCGAACGUUGUUCGGAUUCACUGGGCUUAAAGGGCGCGUAGGCGGGUGAUCAAGUCAGGGGUGAAAUCUUUCGGCUCAACCGGAAAAGUGCCUUUGAUACUGGUCAUCUCGAGGGAGGUAGGGGCAUGUGGAACUUCCGGUGGAGCGGUGAAAUGCGUAGAUAUCGGAAGGAACGCCGGUGGCGAAAGCGACGUGCUGGACCUUUACUGACGCUGAGGCGCGAAAGCCAGGGGAG
rnacentral:rRNA from 1 species